rnacentral:lncRNA from 1 species
UUUUUCUUUCAUUUUGGUUUUGUUUUUUGAAGGCAUAACCACAAGGACAGGAAGAACAGAAGGGAAGGUUAGUAGAACAGAAGUUUGGAAGCUAGAAAGCAGGUAAAGGGUGGUCAGAACAUGGAGCCAUGUUGAGGAAAGUCACAACCCCCCAGUCAGCAGCCCAGAAUCCCCCAGGUUUUCAGGAAUCAGUCACCUCUGGAAGUGGGGGUGAAAGGGAUACAGAAAAUAAAGAUUACCAAGGAAAAGUCUUUCAUCUAAAAAAAAAAAAAAAAAACAGUCAGACAGGCAUAGUGGUAUGUGCCUGUAAUCCAAGUGGCUUGGGAGGCUGAGGCAGGAGGAUUAUGAGUUCAAAGCCAGCCUCAGCAACUUAGCAAGAUCCUAAACAACUUAAUGAGACCCUGUCACAAAAUAAAAAAUAAAAUGGGUUGGGGAUAUGGCUCAGUGGUUAAGAGCCCCUUGGGUUCAAUCCCCAGUACCACGGGAAAAAAAAAGCAAUCAAACACCAGAUUUGUUGUCACAUCCCUGAAAUUCCAGCUACUUGGGAGGCUGAGACAGGAAGAUCCCAAUUUCAAGGCCAGCACAAACAACUAAGUGAGCCCCUGUCCCCAUCUCAAAACAAAAAAUAAAAAAAUGUCUGAGAUGUAGCUCAGUAAUAGAGCUUUCCUUGGUUAAUCCGUAGUACUGCAAGGAGGGAGAGUAGGCAGAGCCUGGAAAACCCCUUCUGUACCCAGGAAAAGACUGGGGCUGGGCUGAGGUUGUGGCUCAGCAGGAGAGUGCUUGCCUCGCACCACAUAAAAAAAUAAAUAAGUGAAAUAAA